rnacentral:rRNA from 1 species
GGCCGCCUUCGAAGAGUCGACCUGUUUGUGAAUGCAGCUCUAAAUGGGAGGUAAAUAUCUUCUAAAGCUAAAUAUUGGCCAGAGACCGAUAGCGAACAAGUAGAGUGAUCGAAAGAUGAAAAGAACUUUGAAAAGAGAGUUAAACAGUACGUGAAAUUGUUGAAAGGGAAGCGCUUGAGAUCAGACUUCCUGUCUGGACUGUCCUUGCUUUUGCUUGGGUCAACAGUCCAGGCGUGGAGGCCAGCAUCAGUUUUGACGGCCGGAUAAAGGCCUUGGGAAGGUAGCUCCUCUCGGGGAGUGUUAUAGCCCAGGGUGUAAUACGGCCAGUUGGGACUGAGGACCGCGGCUUUGCCUAGGAUGCUGGCGUAAUGGUCUUAAGCGACCCGUCUUGAAACACGGACCAAGGAGUCUAACAUCUGUGCGAGUGUUUGGGUGGAAAACCCGUGCGCGAAAUGAAAGUGAAUGGAGGUGGGAUCCGCAAGGUGCACCAUCGACCGAUCCGGAUUUUUUUGAAGGAUUUGAGUAAGAGCAUAGCUGUUGGGACCCGAAAGAUGGUGAACUAUGCCUGAAUAGGGCGAAGCCAGAGGAAACUCUGGUGGAGGCUCGUAGCGGUUCUGACGUGCAAAUCGAUCGUCGCUUUCCGUAUCUGAACGAAAGCU